GAUGAACGCUGGCGGCGUGCCUAUUACAUGCAAGUCGAGCGAACGGACGAGAAGCUUGCUUUUCUGAUGUUAGCGGCGGACGGGUGAGUAACACGUGGAUAACCUACCUAUAAGACUGGGAUAACUUCGGGAAACCGGAGCUAAUACCGGAUAAUAUUUUGAACCGCAUGGUUCAAAAGUGAAAGACGGUCUUGCUGUCACUUAUAGAUGGAUCCGCGCUGCAUUAGCUAGUUGGUAAGGUAACGGCUUACCAAGGCAACGAUGCAUAGCCGACCUGAGAGGGUGAUCGGCCACACUGGAACUGAGACACGGUCCAGACUCCUACGGGAGGCAGCAGUAGGGAAUCUUCCGCAAUGGGCGAAAGCCUGACGGAGCAACGCCGCGUGAGUGAUGAAGGUCUUCGGAUCGUAAAACUCUGUUAUUAGGGAAGAACAUAUGUGUAAGUAACUGUACACAUCUUGACGGUACCUAAUCAGAAAGCCACGGCUAACUACGUG
rnacentral:rRNA from 1 species